rnacentral:lncRNA from 13 species
CAGACAGGAAGGUAUGACGACUCUGACAUGUUACCAUGGUAGCCCCAUUACCACCAGACAGGAAGGUAUCAACACUGACAUGUUACCAUGGUAGUCCCAUUACCACCAGACAGGAAGGUAUCAACACUGACAUGUUACCAUGGUAGCCCCAUUACCACCAGACAGGAAGGUAUGACGACUCUGACAUGUUACCAUGGUAGCCCUAUUAUCAUCAGACAGGAAGGUAUGACGACUCUGACAUGUUACCAUGGUAGCCCCAUUACCACCAGACAGGAAGGUAUGACGACUCUGACAUGUUACCAUGGUAGCCCCAUUAUCACCACAUAGGAAGUUAUGACCACUGACAUGUAUGAUAAGGUAUCCCCAUUAUCACCACACAGGAAGGUAUGACGACUCUGACAUGUUACCAUGGUAACCCCAUUAUGAUCAGACAAAAUACGUAUAGGCACAGUAUCUGUAUCGGCUGGGAAUGACAAUGAAAGGUGCACAUCGUUAAUAUUAGCAGAACACUUCUAUGGUAUUAUGUAAAGGGCUGUUUAUUCUACAUGGACCUUUAUUAAAACACUUAGUUUAGAAUAUCUACAUAAAUUCAGUAUCUGCAUUCUUUUCAUUUUACUCUGUAAGCUACUGACCAAUUCAAAACUUCCUCCGGCAUCUCACCAUACAUCUGCCUGUAGUUAUUGAACUCAACCUGCAGGAGGUUUGUUGUGAUAGCGUGGGGAGGGGGGGGGGGACAGCUGCAGACAAGGUUCUGACAGAUGAGUGUGUUUCGGUGGUGGCAAGGACAUACCCAAGAAACACCCACAUCAAACCACACCCACAAGCCAACUCAUGCUUGGCUUCUGUCAUGGCUGCCAGCAUUUUAAGGAGCAAGCCAAAAAAUGAGGCCAAAUCAGCGGGUGCAGUUUCCUUUUAAAACUGGUUUUAGCACUCAGCGUUUGACACAGGGUCAGGGUCAGGGGAUUUGUAUUUAUUGAGACAUAUAUACAGGGGAGGGAGGAGAGUCAGACAGAUAUACAGGAGAGACAGAGCAGGGAGGAGAGUCAGACAGAUAUACAGGGGAGACAGAGCAGGGAGGAGAGUCAGACAGAUAUACAGGGGAGACAGAGCAGGGAGGAGAGUCAGACAGAUAUACAGGGGAGGGAGGAGAGUCAGACAGAUAUACAGGGGAGGGAGGAGAGUCAGACAGAUAUACAGGGGAGAC